GAUGAACGCUGGCGGCGUGCCUAAUACAUGCAAGUCGAGCGAACAGACGAGGAGCUUGCUCCUCUGACGUUAGCGGCGGACGGGUGAGUAACACGUGGAUAACCUACCUAUAAGACUGGGAUAACUUCGGGAAACCGGAGCUAAUACCGGAUAAUAUAUUGAACCGCAUGGUUCAAUAGUGAAAGACGGUUUUGCUGUCACUUAUAGAUGGAUCCGCGCCGCAUUAGCUAGUUGGUAAGGUAACGGCUUACCAAGGCAACGAUGCGUAGCCGACCUGAGAGGGUGAUCGGCCACACGGGAACUGAGACACGGUCCAGACUCCUACGGGAGGCAGCAGUAGGGAAUCGUCCGCAAUGGGCGAAAGCUUGACGGAGCAACGCCGCGUGAGUGAUGAAGGUCUUCGGAUCGGAAAACUCUGUUAUUAGGGAAGAACAAAUGUGUAAGUAACUAUGCACGUCUUGACGGUACCUAAUCAGAAAGCCACGGCUAACUACGUG
rnacentral:rRNA from 1 species